GUCUCUCGUCAUCUCCCAGUUAGUUCACUCUGGUUUGGAAGGCAGAGAAGUACGAGGUGUUUUAUCACAUCUGUUGCAUAGUUGGACUACGGCAUCUCUCUCUGUGACUUCCUGGAACAGAGAGCACGAUGACACGGCAUCCACACGCUCCGGAGGCACACCUGGUCCGUCAAGCGGGGGACACACAUCACACAGCGGGGACAACAGCAGCGAACAAGGCGACGGCAUGGACAACAGUGUGGCUUCGCCGAGCACAGGAGACGAAGACGACCCGGACAAAGAGAAGAAAAGGAACAAGAAGAGAGGCAUCUUCCCUAAAGUGGCCACCAACAUCAUGAGAGCCUGGCUCUUCCAGCACCUAACGGUGAGUUGAGCAUC